rnacentral:tRNA from 1 species
GCUCCCUUCGUCUAGUGGUUAGGACACUGGCCUCUCACGCCGGUAUCAGGGGUUCGAGUCCCCUAGGGAGCGCCA